rnacentral:rRNA from 1 species
ACGAACGCUGGCGGCGUGCCUAAUACAUGCAAGUUGAGCGCUGAAGGUUGGUACUUGUACCAACUGGAUGAGCAGCGAACGGGUGAGUAACGCGUGGGGAAUCUGCCUUUGAGCGGGGGACAACAUUUGGAAACGAAUGCUAAUACCGCAUAAAAACUUUAAACACAAGUUUUAAGUUUGAAAGAUGCAAUUGCAUCACUCAAAGAUGAUCCCGCGUUGUAUUAGCUAGUUGGUGAGGUAAAGGCUCACCAAGACGAUGAUACAUAGCCGACCUGAGAGGGUGAUCGGCCACAUUGGGACUGAGACACGGCCCAAACUCCUACGGGAGGCAGCAGUAGGGAAUCUUCGGCAAUGGACGAAAGUCUGAACGAGCAACGCCGCGUGAGUGAAGAAGGUUUUCGGAUCGUAAAACUCUGUUGGUAGAGAAGAACGUUGGUGAGAGUGGAAAGCUCAUCAAGUGACGGUAACUACCCAGAAAGGGACGGCUAACUACGUG